GGGGAAUAUUGCACAAUGGGCGCAAGCCUGAUGCAGCCAUGCCGCGUGUGACGAAGGCCUUCGGGUUGUAAAGCACUUUCAGCGGGGAGGAAGGCGAUAAGGUUAAUAACUUUGUCGAUUGACGUUACCCGCAGAAGAAGCACCGGCUAACUCCGUGCCAGCAGCCGCGGUAAUACGGAGGGUGCAAGCGUUAAUCGGAAUUACUGGGCGUAAAGCGCACGCAGGCGGUCUGUCAAGUCGGAUGUGAAAUCCCCGGGCUCAACCUGGGAACUGCAUUCGAAACUGGCAGGCUAGAGUCUUGUAGAGGGGGGUAGAAUUCCAGGUGUAGCGGUGAAAUGCGUAGAGAUCUGGAGGAAUACCGGUGGCGAAGGCGGCCCCCUGGACAAAGACUGACGCUCAGGUGCGAAAGCGUGGGGAGCAAAC
rnacentral:rRNA from 1 species